GAGGGUUUUCUAAAAUGGCAAUCCACGAGGUGGCAGCACCGAGUCGUCAGGUCCAGAUAGCUGUCAAAGUGCUUAUCUUUACUAUGAAUAGUGAACGAUUUUAGUGUUUUUUUUAUUUUAUAAUUAAAGCACUGCAUUAUUGUUUUACUAUUGCGGUUGAGUAAAUAAAAAAAACUAAAUCAUAUUGUGUUAACAAAUUUUUCAACAAGCUUUUCCUUAGUACCAGUGACUUUUGCACCCUCUCUCUUAGCUCAAUUUUUAGUUCGGAAACCUUAUUGUGACCGUAGUCCAUAAUAAAAUCAAUAACACUUCCAAUAUAACAGAAUUUCAAUAAACAAUAAGUUCGGA
rnacentral:lncRNA from 1 species